AACGACGAUACCAUGCUGAAUAUACCGGUUCUCGUUAGAUCACCGAAGUCAAGCAUCAUUGGGCGCGGUCUGUACUUGGGUGGGUGACCACCUGGGAACACCGCGUGCCGUU
rnacentral:rRNA from 1 species